AUUGAACGCUGGCGGCAGGCCUAACACAUGCAAGUCGAGCGGAGCGGCGGACGGGUGAGUAAUACCUAGGAAUCUGCCUGGUAGUGGGGGAUCACGUUCGGAAAAGGACGCUAAUACCGCAUACUAUCAGAUGAGCCUAGGUCGGAUUAGCUAGUUGGUGAGGUAAUGGCUCACCAAGGCUACGAUCCGUAACUGGGCUGAGAGGAUGAUCAGUCACACGGGAACUGAGACACGAGCCAGGCUCCUACGGGAGGCAGCAGUGGGGAAUAUUGGACAAUGGGCGGAAGCCGGAGGCAGCGACGCCGCGGGGGGGAUGAAGGCCUUCUGGUUGUAAACUCCUUGCGACAGGGACGCGGUACCUGUAUAAGAAGCACCGGCUAACUACGUGCCAGCAGCCGCGGUAAUUC
rnacentral:rRNA from 1 species